AGAGAGAGACAUGCGCGCAUAUCAAUAAGCGGAGGAAAAGAAACUAACUAGGAUUCCCUUAGUAACGGCGAGUGAAGCGGGAAGAGCUCAAAUUUGAAAUCUUCAAGGUUUUACCUUGACGAAUUGUAGUUUAAAGAAGUGUUUUCUGCUGAAGUUUUGGUAAAAGUUCUUUGGAAUAGGACAUCAUAGAGGGUGAGAAUCCCGUAUUUGACCAUUAUUUUCAGCUUUGUGAUACACUUUCAAAGAGUCGGAUUGUUUGGGAAUGCAGUCCAAAAUGGGUGGUAAAUUUCAUCUAAAGCUAAAUAUUGGCGAGAGACCGAUAGCGAACAAGUACCGUGAGGGAAAGAUGAAAAGAACUUUGAAAAGAGAGUUAAACAGUACGUGAAAUUGUCAAAAAGGGAAGCGUUUGACACCAGUGUUGUUUUCCUCGAAAAUCAAUUAAAAAUGGCUCGAUUUUGUAUUGUUGAGACCUUAAAAGCUCACUGUACAUUUUUCGUGUCUUUUUUAAUGCACUUUUCGUUUAACAAGUCAACAUCAGUUUCUUUUGUUGUAAAAGGGUCAUUGGAAGGUGGCUUUCUUUUCGGAGAAAGUGUUUAUAGCCUUUGGCCUCUGCAAUCGGAGAGACUGAGGUCUGCAGCGUAGACUCUUCGGGGUUAGAUACAUUUGUGCUAAGUUAUAGCUUUUUAUAGACAACUUGUUGACUAUAAUUAGUCUUGUAGCUUACUCGCUUAUGCUAUUUUACCUACGCUUAGGAUGUUGAAGUCAUCGUAUCGCGC
rnacentral:rRNA from 1 species